AAUGGGCCCGAAACCGGGUGACCUACCCAUGGUCAGGUUGAAGUGGAAGUAAAAUUCCAUGGAGGACCGAACCGACCUCCGUUGAAAAGGCGGCGGAUGAACUGUGGGUAGCGGAGAAAUUCCAAUCGAACCCGGAGAUAGCUGGUUCUCCCCGAAAUAGUUUUAGGACUAGCCUCAAGUUAGAUACCUGGAGGUAAAGCACUGAAUAGCCUAGCGGCCGAGAGGUUAGCGAAGCUUAUCAAACUCAGAAUGCCAGAGUAUUGAUGCUUGGGAGUCAGACAGUGUCAGAUAAAUGUCAUUGUCAAAAGGGAAACAGCCCAGAUCUACAGCUAAGGUCCCAAAGUCAGGUUAAGUGGAAAACGAUGUGAAGAUACGCAGACAACCAGGAUGUUGGCUCAGAAGCAGCCACUCAUUCAAAGAGUGCGUAAUAGCUCACUGGUCGAGCGUCUUUGCGCGGAGAAUUUAACGGGGCUAAACCUGACACCGAAGCUUAGGCAAUGUAGUAAUACAUUGGGUAGGGGAGCGUUGUAUACGCGGUGAAACAGUAGCGCAAGCGGCUGUGGAGUGUAUAGAAGUGAGAAUGCCGGAAUGAGUAGCGCGAAUGCAGUGAGAAUCUGCAUGGCCGAAAGCCUCAGGUUUCUGGAGGAAGGUUCGUCCGCUCCAGGUUAGUCGGGAGCUAAGGUGAGGCCUAACGGCGUAGCCGAUGCACAGACGGUAGAGAUUCCGUCACCACCAAAAGAGUUAAACACAGGGACACAUUUGAAGUCUCGGAGCCGGGUGUUGGUUCCGGUAGCGAUCGAGGGAAAUUAGUACCGAAGUCCGGGAUGGAAGAUGGCGAGAAAAGCUGUGUGUAUUUCUGCGGUGCCCGUACCGCAAACCGACACAGGUAGGUAGGAAGAAGAUUCUAAGGCCAACGGGAGAAGGGUUGUUAAGGAACUCGGCAAAUUGACCCCGUAACUUCGGGAGAAGGGGUGCUCCAGAGAUGGAGCCGCAGAGAAUCGGCCCAAGCAACUGUUUACCAAAAACACAGGUUUGUGCUAAAUCGAAAGAUGACGUAUACGAGCUGACGCCUGCCCGGUGCUGGAAGGUUAAGAGGAGAUGUGCAAGCAUUGAAUCGAAGCCCCAGUGAACGGCGGCCGUAACUAUAACGGUCCUAAGGUAGCGAAAUUCCUUGUCAGGUAAGUUCUGACCCGCAUGAAAGGCGUAAUGAUUUGGGCACUGUCUCAACAGCCCGCCCGGCGAAAUUGUAGUACCGGUGAAGAUGCCGGUUACCCGCGACAAGACGGAAAGACCCCAUGGAGCUUUACUGUAGCCUAAUAUUGGGUUUCGAUGUUGCAUGCACAGGAUAGAUGGGACACUGGGAAGUGAUCGCUUUGGCGGUCAUGGAGUGGCCGUUGGGAUACCAUCCUUGCGAUAUUGGAAUUCUAACCUGCGCCUUUGAAUCAAGGCGGGGGACAUUGUUAGGUGGGCAGUUUGACUGGGGCGGUCGCCUCCUAAAGAGUAACGGAGGCGUUCAAAGGUUCGCUCAGCUUGAACGGAAAUCAAGCAAAAGAGUGCAAACGCAGAAGCGAGCCUAACUGCGAGACUGACGGGUCGAGCAGUAACGAAAGUUGGAGUUAGUGAUCCGGUGGUAUGUGAGUGGAAAUGCCAUCGCUCAACGGAUAAAAGUUACCCUGGGGAUAACAGGCUGAUCUCCCCCAAGAGUCCACAUCGACGGGGAGGUUUGGCACCUCGAUGUCGGCUCAUCGCAUCCUGGGGCUGUAUUCGGUCCCAAGGGUUUGGCUGUUCGCCAAUUAAAGCGGUACGCGAGCUGGGUUCAGAACGUCGUGAGACAGUUCGGUCCCUAUCUGUCGUGGGCGCAGGAUAUUUGAUGGGAGCUGUUCCUAGUACGAGAGGACCGGAGCGGACGUACCUCUGGCGCACCAGUUGUUCUGCCAAGAGCAUAGCUGGGCAACUAUGUACGGAUCGGAUAAACGCUGAAAGCAUCUAAGCGUGAAGCCGACCCAAAGAUAAGAUAUCCCA
rnacentral:rRNA from 1 species